GCCAGUUUGGCUCAGUGGAUAGAGCAUCGGUCUGUGGACUGAAGGGUUCUGGGUUCGAUUCCAGUCAAGGGCA
rfam:Myotis davidii contig96565, whole genome shotgun sequence.